UACGAAGGGGGCUAGCGUUGCUCGGAAUUACUGGGCGUAAAGGGCGCGUAGGCGGGUCGUUAAGUUAGAGGUGAAAGCCCAGGGCUCAACCCUGGAAUUGCCUUUAAUACUGUCGACCUUGAGUAUGGCAGAGGUGUGUGGAACUCCGAGUGUAGAGGUGAAAUUCGUAGAUAUUCGGAAGAACACCAGUGGCGAAGGCGACACACUGGGCCAUUACUGACGCUGAGACGCGAAAGCGUGGGGAGCGAACAGG
rnacentral:rRNA from 1 species